rnacentral:rRNA from 1 species
CGGCAACAGCUCAAAUUUGAAAUCUGGCCCUCGGGUCCGAGUUGUAAUUUGUAGAGGAUGCUUUUGGUGCGGUGCCUUCCAAGUUCCCUGGAACGGGACGCCUAAGAGGGUGAGAGCCCCGUACGGUUGGACACCAAGCCUCUGUAAAGCUCCUUCGAC